ACACGUGUGCAACCUGCCUUUAUCUGGGGGAUAGCCUUUCGAAAGGAAGAUUAAUACCCCAUAAUAUACUGAAUGGCAUCAUUCUGUAUUGAAAACUCCGGUGGAUAGAGAUGGGCACGCGCAAGAUUAGAUAGUUGGUGAGGUAACGGCUCACCAAGUCUACGAUCUUUAGGGGGCCUGAGAGGGUGAUCCCCCACACUGGUACUGAGACACGGACCAGACUCCUACGGGAGGCAGCAGUGAGGAAUAUUGGACAAUGGGUGAGAGCCUGAUCCAGCCAUCCCGCGUGAAGGACGACGGCCCUAUGGGUUGUAAACUUCUUUUGUAUAGGGAUAAACCUACCCUCGUGAGGGUAGCUGAAGGUACUAUACGAAUAAGCACCGGCUAACUCCGUGCCAGCAGCCGCGGUAAUACGGAGGGUGCAAGCGUUAUCCGGAUUUAUUGGGUUUAAAGGGUCCGUAGGCGGAUCUGUAAGUCAGUGGUGAAAUCUCACAGCUUAACUGUGAAACUGCCAUUGAUACUGCAGGUCUUGAGUGUUGUUGAAGUAGCUGGAAUAAGUAGUGUAGCGGUGAAAUGCAUAGAUAUUACUUAGAACACCAAUUGCGAAGGCAGGUUACUAAGCAACAACUGACGCUGAUGGACGAAAGCGUGGGGAGCGAACAGGAUUAGAUACCCUGGUAGUCCACGCCGUAAACGAUGCUAACUCGUUUUUGGAAUGUAAGUUUCAGAGACUAAGCGAAAGUGAUAAGUUAGCCACCUGGGGAGUACGAACGCAAGUUUGAAACUCAAAGGAAUUGACGGGGGCCCGCACAAGCGGUGGAUUAUGUGGUUUAAUUCGAUGAUACGCGAGGAACCUUACCAAGGCUUAAAUGGGAAAUGACAGGUUUAGAAAUAGACUUUUCUUCGGACAUUUUUCAAGGUGCUGCAUGGUUGUCGUCAGCUCGUGCCGUGAGGUGUUAGGUUAAGUCCUGCAACGAGCGCAACCCCUGUCACUAGUUGCCAUCAUUAAGUUGGGGACUCUAGUGAGACUGCCUACGCAAGUAGAGAGGAAGGUGGGGAUGACGUCAAAUCAUCACGGCCCUUACGCCUUGGGCCACACACGUAAUACAAUGGCCGGUACAGAGGGCAGCUACACUGCGAAGUGAUGCAAAUCUCGAAAGCCGGUCUCAGUUCGGAUUGGAGUCUGCAACUCGACUCUAUGAAGCUGGAAUCGCUAGUAAUCGCGCAUCAGCCAUGGCGCGGUGAAUACGUUCCCGGGCCUUGUACACACCACCGGUCAAGCCAUGGAAGUCUGGGGUACCUGAAGUCGGUGACCGUAACAGGAGC
rnacentral:rRNA from 1 species